rfam:Oleiphilus sp. HI0009 HI0009_c21, whole genome shotgun sequence.
GCCCGGAUAGCUCAGUCGGUAGAGCAGGGGAUUGAAAAUCCCCGUGUCGGUGGUUCGAUUCCGCCUCCGGGCA